CCUACGGGAGGCUGCAGUGGGGAAUAUUGGACAAUGGGCGAAAGCCUGAUCCAGCCAUGCCGCGUGUGUGAAGAAGGCCUUCGGGUUGUAAAGCACUUUCAGUGGGGAAGAAAGCCUUGGGGCUAAUACCCUCGAGGAAGGACAUCACCCACAGAAGAAGCACCGGCUAACUCCGUGCCAGCAGCCGCGGUAAUACGGAGGGUGCGAGCGUUAAUCGGAAUUACUGGGCGUAAAGCGCGCGUAGGCGGUCUGAUAAGCCGGUUGUGAAAGCCCCGGGCUCAACCUGGGAACGGCAUCCGGAACUGUCAGGCUAGAGUGCAGGAGAGGAAGGUAGAAUUCCCGGUGUAGCGGUGAAAUGCGUAGAGAUCGGGAGGAAUACCAGUGGCGAAGGCGGCCUUCUGGACUGACACUGACGCUGAGGUGCGAAAGCGUGGGUAGCAAACAGGAUUAGAUACCCUAGUAGUC
rnacentral:rRNA from 1 species